AAGUGUUCAACAUUGCGUCUGAUGUAAUAUACAGUGCGAAAUUUCCCCUACCCUUAUGCUCUACACUCAUUGACAAAGUGUAAAAUAAUGCAUAAAAUGUAAUAAUAUUAGACAGUUCGAAUUUCUUUUAUGCGAUUAAAUAACUGGCUAAUGUGUGAUGGGAAAAUUGGUAAUGGCUAUCUAAAAAAAUUAAUAAACAAUAAUACAAUCUUUUUUCGACAUUGGCAGAUGGCAGCACCGCAUCCUUGUUUCAGGCCAAUCAUUUUUCUAAACCAGCAACGCCGCAUGAUCACUAAAGUUCGUCUGCAGAUUCCUUUUUCUGAAAUGAAAUUGAAAUUGAAACUUGAAAGCAUGAAAGUUUGAAAUAAGAAAUUCGAAAUACACUACCAACGCAUGUUUGAAGCGUUUGUAGCAUUCUGCAGAUGUGCCAACGGGUUCCCAUCUUCUUAUUCACGUAUAAACCUGAGAAAUACACCGAUUACGUACACCAAUUCCGAGAUUACACCAAUCAAACAC